GAUGAACGCUGGCGGCGUGCUUAACACAUGCAAGUCGAACGAAGCACUUAAGAUUGAUUCUUCGGAUGACGUCUUUUGUGACUUAGUGGCGACGGGUGAGUAACGCGUGGGUAACCUGCCUCACACAGGGGGAUAACAGUUAGAAAUGACUGCUAAUACCGCAUAACCCGAUAGGAUCGCAUGAUCCAGACGGAAAAGAUUUAUCGGUGUGAGAUGGACCCGCGUCUGAUUAGCUGGUUGGUGAGGUAACGGCCCACCAAGGCGACGAUCAGUAGCCGGCCUGAGAGGGUGAACGGCCACAUUGGGACUGAGACACGGCCCAAACUCCUACGGGAGCAGCAGUGGGGAAUAUUGCACAAUGGGGGAAACCCUGAUGCAGCGACGCCGCGUGAGUGAAGAAGUAUUUCGGUAUGUAAAGCUCUAUCAGCAGGG
rnacentral:rRNA from 1 species